UACGUAGGGUGCGAGCGUUAAUCGGAAUUACUGGGCGUAAAGCGUGCGCAGGCGGUUCGUUGUGUCUGAUGUGAAAGCCCCGGGCUCAACCUGGGAAUGGCAUUGGAAACUGGCGAGCUAGAGUGUGGCAGAGGGGGGUGGAAUUCCGCGUGUAGCAGUGAAAUGCGUAGAUAUGCGGAGGAACACCGAUGGCGAAGGCAAUCCCCUGGACCUGUACUGACGCUCAUGCACGAAAGCGUGGGGAGCAAACAGG
rnacentral:rRNA from 1 species